UAUGAAACAUCUAAGCUUGACAUUAUUUGUACAUAAAGCCCUUUGACUUGGAGUCAAGAUGUGCUGUACAGUUUGGUGCUGAGUGCUCUGGACGCCCCAGCAGGGCCGGAGAAAAUCUGCAGAGGCAGCAGCAACUGACCCUAACAGAGCAAGAGGCCUGACCUUCACACCUAUGUAACCCAAGGUCACAGAAAUGCUGAGGGGCCAUGUGACUCCAGUGAAGCAGGAGUAUCCAUCCAGCCACAGAGAUGGGACCUGUCCAAAUGGGACCUGUCUGUUCCAAAGGUUAUUCUGCUUGUUCUGGAGACUGGGAAUUCCAAGAGCAUGAUACCAGCAUCUGGCGAGCGUUAUCCCCUGGUAGGAAGUAUCACAUGUGCUGGUUAAUUAACCAAUCAUAAAGAAAAGAUGAAAGUAUGUGAACCUCAAAUCCUUGUGUUCUGGAAAAAAAACAUACUCACAGAAUAAUGAAAAAAAAUUUCAACUAAUGAGAACCAGGAACAAUGACCACUGGAAAUAAUGAAAACAGUUGGAUCAAACAGCUACAAGUAAAGCACUUGGAAUGGUAGAGUGCUUCCCUCAAUGGAUGGAAGGAGACUGGAUCCCUCUGACACUGACUGGAAGAGCUCUGCUAAGCAAAGCUGCGAGCUCAUGAAAGACUGUGAGGAGAGUAAGAGGUAACCUUUUAUUGUGUUAAGUCAUUAAUGUCAGGGUUUACUUGUUACUACAGCAUGGCUUCCUCUAACACCUCCUCUUAUCAACUGCCUUUUCUGAGUCUUUCCUUGACUCAUGAUUUUGAGUUAACUUAGUAAACUUACCAAAGGCUGACUUUGCACCAAGAAUCAUUAUAGGUACUGGAAAAUUUAAAAGAUGAAGGAGGUGGAGUCAUUUUUUCCUAAGGAGCUGGGAGAGGAGAUAAGAAAUGGGAUCAAAUAAUGAACAACAAGUUUCAAAGGGAUCAGAGUCCAAUAAAACCUGCCGCCUGAGCUCUUAAGAGAGAAAUGGAAAUCGUAGUUGUGAACAUCAGGCUUUCUAGAAGUGGCUGUACCAACAUCAGCCUUGAAAGAGCUCAAUCCAGCAGAUCCUGUCCCACUUGGAACCUGGCUAUGAGUGAGAAAACAUCUGUGGUUGGAAAAUGGGGCUGGUGAUUCAGGCCUGUUUGGGAAGAAGAUGCUCUUGAAUGCUUUGCUCAACAAACACCUCCCUUCUGCAAGGAGGUGAGAGGUCAUCUGUCUGUCUACUUUGACACUUUCACCCACUGAACUUCAGGGCUUAAGACACCUUCCCCAUAAAUUGGAGUGAGCGCGGCACAAACUGUCCCUGAAUUUGACCAUAACUGACUCACCAAAGGUCUGAGUAGGGGAGAAGGCAAAAACAGACAAACAGGCACUGAGGACUUUGCCAUCCCAGACCUGUGUCAUGUAAACAGGCUGUCUGCUUCACAGCCAAGGAAUGAGCCCUGGACGUGGGUCGGAACUGGAGCCUUAACAGCUAAUACCCAGAGCCUUUGACUGUGGACGACUGUGUUCAAAGGGGCAGGCUGCCCACUACUAGGGCAUGGAGGAGAGGCAGGAUGUGGGGAAAGAGUGUGGUUUUGGAAUCAGACACAACUGGUCCCCGCCACUUACUCAGCCUUGUGACCUCAGAUGAAAAAGUCUCUUAUUCUUACUAAGGCUCAGUUUCCCCAACUGUGAAACUGACAUAACACUAUGGACUUCAAAAGGCUUUACAAGCAAAACAAUUUAUAAAACAAUUUAUUCAACAAUUUAUUCAGGCACUUAGCACAGUGCUAGCACAUAGAUAUAAGUAACAGUUUUUUUUCUCUGUUCCUUCUACGUGGAGGAGAGGCAUCUGUUGUCUCUUCAAGUUAAUUAAUUUGAAAAUAUCCAGUAGCAACCAUUUCUUAAAUUCCUCUUACGAGCCAUUUAGUUUUGCAACAACUGCAAGAUAGACAGUAUUAUUCCCAUUUUACAGAUAUGGACAUUGAAGCUCAGGAGGUACACCGGAUAUAGUGACUUUGAUCUUCUCAUUGCCCUGACACUGAUGAGAGAGAGAUAACAAAAUCAAAAAGAACAGUUGGAGGAAUAAAUGUCAAAUAUAGGAGGCUGGAAGCAUAGUCUCUAACCUCAGUCUAGCCUCGGAUAAUAGCAUUUUCAUCUUGCUACAGCAGUAGCAGACACCAGCUGGGUGCCUUCUCCCUAUUUUAUUCAUUUGUAUGUUCAUUGAGCAAUUUAUCUAUUGCUAAUUCCUUAGCAAGCAUUUACUGUGACCUUCCUUUUAUUAUUACUAUUAUUAUUAUUCAUUUUAGAGACAGGGCUAUGCCAUUAUGUUGCCUACGCUGGAGGGCAGUGGUU
rnacentral:lncRNA from 1 species